rnacentral:rRNA from 1 species
UACGUAGGGUGCGAGCGUUAAUCGGAAUUACUGGGCGUAAAGCGUGCGCAGGCGGUUUUGUAAGCCAGGUGUGAAAUCCCCGGGCUCAACCUGGGAAUGGCAUUUGGGACUGCAAGGCUGGAGUGUGGCAGAGGAGACUGGAAUUCCUGGUGUAGCAGUGAAAUGCGUAGAUAUCAGGAGGAAUACCGAUGGCGAAGGCAGGUCUCUGGGCUGACACUGACGCUCAUGCACGAAAGCGUGGGGAGCGAAACAAGG